rnacentral:rRNA from 1 species
UACGAAGGGGGCUAGCGUUGCUCGGAAUCACUGGGCGUAAAGGGCGCGUAGGCGGGCGGCCGCGUCCAGGGUGAAAUCCCACGGCUCAACCGUGGAACGGCCUCGGAUACGGGCGGCCUCGAGGGGGGUAGGGGCAUCUGGAACUGUGAGUGGAGCGGUGAAAUGCGUUGAUAUUCACAGGAACUCCGGUGGCGAAGGCGAGGUGCUGGACCCCAUCUGACGCUGAGGCGCGAAAGCCAGGGGAGCGAACGGG